rnacentral:lncRNA from 1 species
UCACGUUGUGUGUACAGUGCGUAAGCCAGCGUGCAUGCCUACAAACUGAUAGGUUGUCUCGUCAGCUUGCAGCGCGUGACGCUAUGCAUAGUGACCUAGUGUGAUCAAUUGACGAACGGGUAUCUCGUGCAUCAGUUAAUUAGCCUGACUAGGGGCGUGCAUGGUUACCACGUGACAUGCAAGCAUGACACAUAAGGUGGCCGAAUGGCCUCUUGGUUAUUUUGUGGUUGUUGAAUGCCUAUGAGAUUCGCAACCUUUGUGUAUAUAAAUUUCCUAUUUAAACCCCUUUUCCCCAUCAUUUUCCUCACAUUUUUCCACUUUCUCUUCAUUCUCCUAAAAUUGAGAGAGUUGGGUGAGGAAUGAGGAGAUCGAGAGUUUUAAAUUAUUUAUGGUUUAAGAAUCAUCAAGGAUACCUUUCCAUCCUUUCCUAUUAGGAUAUCAUAAAGCUUCACGAUUUCGAUAAGGUAUCUCUAGUAUUUUCCUGUAUGUUCUAAGUGAAUUUAUAGAUAAAUUAAUAAUGAAUGUUGAUUCAUUCAGAUGCAUGAAAAGUGAAUAGGUGUUUAAAAUUGAAUGUUUUUUUCGCAUGACUAUAUGAUUAGUUGUUUAAAUGCAUAUUAUAAUCUAUGAAAUGAAAUGACAUGAAUGUGCGAACUUAACCCUCUUCAUUACCCUCGGGAAAUAGUAGAGAGGGUUACUUCCUUUGGGCCCUGGCUCUGGAGAAAGAUCUUAUGGUAAUGUCUGAGUAUAAAGGCCUUUACAUGUCAGAAUUAGUUAUUGAAUCUCAUUGGGUUGCAUCAUUGUUCGAGAUUUUGAAAUUAUAGAGCAAGUACAAAGAACACAAAAAUCUAUUGAAUUGUUAUCACCAGAUGGUUUAUAUUCUAUCUCUUCCCUUAUAUCCGUAUAUAAUUCUAAAAAGACAUUGGUGAACCACUCCCUGUGAAUGGUACGAGCAUUCCCUCUCACAAGAGUAGAUUCGUGUUCUAAUCUGUAAGGGUCACAUUGGUGAUGUACGGUUAUGGUCAUUAGUCUAUUUGAUCUAUAAGGGCCACAAUGGCGAAGUAUGACCAUAGUCAUAGUAUGUACCAAAUUGAAUAUUGAAAUGAAUGUCUCUGUACUUUAACAGUGGUUGUUGGAGAUCCCUUCUGUCCCUAGUUAAUAUAAGUUAAAAUGAGUUCGCAUGAAGAUCUGGAAAAUACUUAAAAAUCACUAUUUAUUAAUACUCCUAAUUUAAGAUUCAUGCAUGGUAGUGUAAUUCAGAUUUCAUGAGCACAUGUAUUUAUUGUUCAGUUAUUGCUAUAUUCUUGGUUGGUUCAACUAGUUUCUACAUCAUUGUCUUAUAAGCUCUUAUUGUUGUACUACUCUCUUUAAACUUAAAGCAAUGUUUUCAUAAAAUUUCAAAGAAAACAUGGUUUAUGACGGGAUUGAGAGGUAAGUUAUUAUGCUUUAUAUUAGUAC